UUUAAACUGCCGAGUUUGCCCUUCGGCAAACGUCGUGAUUGUAUGCCGUUUCUCAUUGCAUUACGAAACGGCGGAAAAUAAACAAUCCUCAAAAUCCGAAGAUUUUUCCGGUUGUUUAUUUUAAGA
rfam:Treponema pedis str. T A4, complete genome.